UGUUCCAUGUCCACUUUUAACUGUUGCUUCUUGACCUGCUUGCAGAUUUUUCAAGAGGCAGGUAAGGUGGUCUGGUAUUUCUGUCUCUUUAAGGAUUUUCCACAGUUUGUUGUGAUCCACACAGUUAAACACUUUAGCAUAGUCCAUGAAGCAGAUGUUUUUCUGGAACUCCCUUGCUUUCUCUGUGAUCCAA